rnacentral:rRNA from 1 species
UACAGAGGUCUCAAGCGUUGUUCGGAUUCAUUGGGCGUAAAGGGCGUGUAGGCGGAGAAGUAAGUCGGGCGUGAAAUCCCCAGGCUCAACCUGGGAACUGCACUCGAAAACUACUUCCCUUGAGUGUCGGAGAGGAAAGCGGAAUACCUGGUGUAGAGGUGAAAUUCGUAGAUAUCAGGUGGAACACCAGUGGCGAAGGCGGCUUUCUGGACGAUAACUGACGCUGAGACGCGAAAGCGUGGGGAGCGAACAGG